AGAGUUUGAUCCUGGCUCAGAUUGAACGCUGGCGGCAGGCCUAACACAUGCAAGUCGAGCGGUAGCACAGAGAGCUUGCUCUCGGGUGACGAGCGGCGGACGGGUGAGUAAUGUCUGGGAAACUGCCUGAUGGAGGGGGAUAACUACUGGAAACGGUAGCUAAUACCGCAUAAUGUCGCAAGACCAAAGUGGGGGACCUUCGGGCCUCAUGCCAUCAGAUGUGCCCAGAUGGGAUUAGCUAGUAGGUGGGGUAACGGCUCACCUAGGCGACGAUCCCUAGCUGGUCUGAGAGGAUGACCAGCCACACUGGAACUGAGACACGGUCCAGACUCCUACGGGAGGCAGCAGUGGGGAAUAUUGCACAAUGGGCGCAAGCCUGAUGCAGCCAUGCCGCGUGUGUGAAGAAGGCCUUCGGGUUGUAAAGCACUUUCAGCGGGGAGGAAGGCGGUGAGGUUAAUAACCUCAUCGAUUGACGUUACCCGCAGAAGAAGCACCGGCUAACUCCGUGCCAGCAGCCGC
rnacentral:rRNA from 1 species